AAAAUUCUGAACGACAUUGGUAGCCACAAUACUACAGAACCUAUGUCAGUUGAAGCCACCCGCCACAACAUUACGGAAUUAUUCACAAAGAUAUUACAGUCGCAGACCUAUUGCUGGAGAAGUGAUAUCAAAACUUUGUAUUAUAAACCGGGUCGUUCCAGACAGCUCAGUUCCGUGGGGUACGUGAAUCGCUCUGGCCACGUUGCAACAUACAGUGAUAUUUUCCCAAACACCAUGUAUGGUCUCAACCAUAGAACAUUCACAGUUUCAACAAAUAUUUGGCCUCCUUUUGUAAACAAGAGUGAAGUAAACGGGACUGUGGAAUAUAAUGGCUUUUGUAUCGAUUUGCUGAAGGAAAUGGC